rnacentral:rRNA from 1 species
UACGAAGGGGGCUAGCGUUGCUCGGAAUCACUGGGCGUAAAGGGUGCGUAGGCGGGUCUUUAAGUCAGGGGUGAAAUCCUGGAGCUCAACUCCAGAACUGCCUUUGAUACUGAGGAUCUUGAGUUCGGGAGAGGUGAGUGGAACUGCGAGUGUAGAGGUGAAAUUCGUAGAUAUCGGGAGGAACACCGGUGGCGAAGGCGGCGACCUGGGUCGAGACUGACGCUGAGGCGCGAAAGCGUGGGGAGCAAACAGG